CAUACAGUAGAUAUUACCAUUAAGAGUCAGUUAGAAAGGUAAUCAUACAGUAGAUAUUACCAUUAGGAGUCAGUUAGAAAGGUAAUCAUACAGUAGAUAUUACCAUUAGGAGUCAGUUAGAAAGGUAAUCAUACAGUAGAUAUUACCAUUAGGAGUCAGUUAGAAAGGUAAUCAUACAGUAGAUAUUACCAUUAGGAGUCAGUUAGAAAGGUAAUCAUAC